UGGCACAGUGGUUAGUGCGCCUGCUUCUAAACCAGAUGAUACGAGUUUGAGUCUCGU
rnacentral:tRNA from 1 species